rnacentral:rRNA from 1 species
CCUACGGGAGGCAGCAGUGAGGAAUAUUGGUCAAUGGCCGGAAGGCUGAACCAGCCAAGCCGCGUGAAGGACGAAGGUGCCACGCAUUGUAAACUUCUUUUGUCAAGGGACAAAAUCAGGCUCGAGAGCCUGACCGAGGGUACUUGAAGAAAAAGCAUCGGCUAACUCCGUGCCAGCAGCCGCGGUAAUACGGAGGAUGCGAGGUUUCUCCGGGUUUAUUGGGUUUAAAGGGUGCGUAGGCGGGCUGUUAAGUCAGCGGUAAAAGCCCGGGGCUCAACCCCGGCGAGCCGUUGAAACUGGCUGUCUUGAGAUGUCGAGAGGUAUGCGGAAUGCGCAGUGUAGCGGUGAAAUGCUUAGAUAUUGCGCAGAACUCCGAUUGCGAAGGCAGCAUACCGGCGGCGAUCUGACGCUGAGGCACGAAAGCGUGGGUAGCGAACAGGAUUAGAUACCCUUGUAGUC